rnacentral:rRNA from 1 species
GGCACGCCUAACACAUGCAAGUCGAACGAAGUAGCAAUACUUAGUGGCAGACGGGUGAGUAACAUGUGGGUAUCUGCCCUUUGGCCUGGAAUAACACGAGGAAACUUGUGCUAAUACCGGAUAAGUCUUUACGGAGAAAGCUUUAUGCACCAUUGGAUGAGCCCGCACUUGAUUAGUUUGUUGGUGGGGUAAUGGCCUACCAAGACUUUGAUCAAUAGCUGAUUUGAGAGGAUGAUCAGCCACAUUGGGACUGAGACACGGCCCAAACUCCUACGGGAGGCAGCAGUGGGGAAUCUUGCACAAUGGAGGAAACUCUGAUGCAGCGAUGCCGCGUGAGUGAAGAAGGCCCUUGGGUUGUAAAGCUCUUUCGUCGGGGAAGAAAAUGACUGUACCCGAAUAAGAAGGUCCGGCUAACUUCGUGCCAGCAGCCGCGGUAAUACGAAGGGACCUAGCGUAGUUCGGAAUUACUGGGCUUAAAGAGUUCGUAGGUGGUUGAAAAAGUUAGUGGUGAAAUCCCAGAGCUUAACUCUGGAACUGCCAUUAAAACUUUUCAGCUAGAGUAUGAUAGAGGAAAGCAGAAUUUCUAGUGUAGAGGUGAAAUUCGUAGAUAUUAGAAAGAAUACCAAUUGCGAAGGCAGCUUUCUGGAUCAUUACUGACACUGAGGAACGAAAGCAUGGGUAGCGAAGAGGAUUAGAUACCCUCGUAGUCCAUGCCGUAAACGAUGUGUGUUAGACGUUGGAAAUUUAUUUUCAGUGUCGCAGCGAAAGCGAUAAACACACCGCCUGGGGAGUACGACCGCAAGGUUAAAACUCAAAUGAAUUGACGGGGACCCGCACAAGUAGUGGAGCAUGUGGUUUAAUUCGAAGAUACGCGCAGAACCUUACCAACACUUGACAUGUUCGUCGCGACUCUAAGAGAUUAGAGUUUUCGGUUCGGCCGGACGAAACACAGGUGCUGCAUGGCUGUCGUCAGCUCGUGUCGUGAGAUGUUGGGUUAAGUCCCGCAACGAGCGCAACCCUCACUUUUAGUUGCCAUCAUUAAGUUGGGCACUCUGAAAGAACUGCCAGUGAUAAGCUGGAGGAAGGUGGGGAUGACGUCAAGUCCUCAUGGCCCUUACGUGUUGGGCUACACACGUGCUACAAUGGUAUCUACAACAGGAAGCAAGACUGCGAGGUCAAGCAAAUCCUUAAAAGAUACCUCAGUUCGGAUUGCACUCUGCAACUCGAGUGCAUGAAGCUGGAAUUACUAGUAAUCGUGGAUCAGCGUGCCACGGUGAAUGCGUUCCCGGGUCUUGUACACACCGCCCGUCACACCAUGGGAGUUGGUUCUACCUUAAGGCAAGGUUUCAAACCCUUGACCACGGUAUAGUCAGCGACUGGGGUGAAGUCGA